UUAUAAGGAAGGCGGCAGUCUUCUAUUUCAGCCUUUCUUUCCAGAAGGACAGGGCAAUGGUAUUUCUCGUCUUGUAAACACUGGACUGUAUGAGACCU
ensembl:misc_RNA